rnacentral:rRNA from 1 species
ACACGACUACAUUAGACUACCCGUGUAGUCCUAGCCGUAAACGAUACUCGCUAGGUGUCGGCCACGGUGCGACCGUUGUCGGUGCCGUAGGGAAGCCGUGAAGCGAGCCACCUGGGAAGUACGGCCGCAAGGCUGAAACUUAAAGGAAUUGGCGGGGGAGCACCACAACGGGUGGAGCUUGCGGUUUAAUUGGAUUCAACGCCGGAAAUCUUACCGGGACCGACAGCAACAUGAAGGCCAAGCUGAAGACUUUGCCGGAUUAGCUG